GUCGAGCGGAAACGACACUAASAAUCCUUCGGGUGCGUUAAUGGGCGUCGAGCGGCGGACGGGUGAGUAAUGCCUAGGAAAUUGCCUUGAUGUGGGGGAUAACCAUUGGAAACGAUGGCUAAUACCGCAUAAUGCCUACGGGCCAAAGAGGGGGACCUUCGGGCCUCUCGCGUCAAGAUAUGCCUAGGUGGGAUUAGCUAGUUGGUGAGGUAAUGGCUCACCAAGGCGACGAUCCCUAGCUGGUCUGAGAGGAUGAUCAGCCACACUGGAACUGAGACACGGUCCAGACUCCUACGGGAGGCAGCAGUGGGGAAUAUUGCACAAUGGGCGAAAGCCUGAUGCAGCCAUGCCGCGUGUAUGAAGAAGGCCUUCGGGUUGUAAAGUACUUUCAGUUGUGAGGAAGGGGGUAGCGUUAAUAGCGCUGUCUCUUGACGUUAGCAACAGAAGAAGCACCGGCUAACUCCGUGCCAGCAGCCGCGGUAAUACGGAGGGUGCGAGCGUUAAUCGGAAUUACUGGGCGUAAAGCGCAUGCAGGUGGUUCAUUAAGUCAGAUGUGAAAGCCCGGGGCUCAACCUCGGAACUGCAUUUGAAACUGGUGAACUAGAGUACUGUAGAGGGGGGUAGAAUUUCAGGUGUAGCGGUGAAAUGCGUAGAGAUCUGAAGGAAUAC
rnacentral:rRNA from 1 species